rnacentral:tRNA from 1 species
GUGGAUAUGGUGAAGCGGUUAACACACCGGAUUGUGGCUCCGGCAUGCGUGGGUUCAAGUCCCACUAUCCACCCCA